CGGCUGCAGCGGCCCCAGGUGCAAACAGACUGCCGCCGAAUGUGAGCAGCGAGGCGAGGGGUCGAGGUAGCGAGGAGUCAGGGUGGCCCGCAGCAGGAAGACAGAAGGCGUGGAGACAGACUGGCGUUUUGCCUCAGAGGAAGAAGUGGGGUCCCCUCUCCCAUUCUGUGAGCAAGUGCCAGUUCCAGUGAUUCGUACUUUCAUGUCCGAGUUGGAAACCUUGGCCCGACGGUGAUGGACUGCACGACUUGCUGGACUCCCAAGUCCGAAGUUCCUGCGGCAGCGCUUGCUUUGUGGCGCCACCUGGAACAUAGAGAACGGUGGGGGUAAAUAAGGGGAGCCUGAAGUUUCUGCUCUGUGCUUGCGUGUUCGAAUCCCAUCGCUGAGACUUUCUUCUGCUUUGGAUCGCUUGUCCCAGGCUGACGCCGCGCUGCGACCUCUCCCCUCGUAGGAGCCUAACGCCAACCCCUGCGCCAGGCAGGGAUGGAAUCAUCAUUCUCAUUGUAUAGAUGGACACUGAGGCUCGAGAACGGAAACGACUUCUUUUGAGUUGGGUGCCUCUCCCCCCUUGCCAGGCAGCCGCCUUUCUCUGUUGCCAUAGCACAAAUCACAAGGGUAUUUAUGGAACAAAAGCUCAGACCGCUGAGAUGUUCACUCUGCACUUUCAGCAGCACUCACAUUGAGAUAUGAGAAGACUGCAACAAGAACAAAAGGGUUGUGCCACCUCCUUUGGAUGUGAAGAGGAUGUGCUGACACGUGUGCUCGGGAGCCAGACUUUGUGGCCUUGGGGAAAGGACUGAAUAUUUCUGUGCUUCGUCGUUUGCAUCUGUGGAAUGCAGGUGAUACUGAGCUCUUCCUUGUGGGAUUAUUGCCUGGAAAUACACCAUUAUAGGUUCAUCGCCGCCAGGUUUACCGCGACACUCGGCGUUCUCGGGCCUCAGCGGAAUGGGUUUUAAACCGCGGAGGGAGGCCCAGGCGGAGAGGGUGUAGGCCCACUUUUCUCACUCGUGUCUAAGCAGGCCUUGUCCUGGCGGCAGCCAAGGUGAAGGCAGACGCUGUUUCCGGGAUCCAGUGGACCAGGCCAGGCCAGGGGAUUUGGGCGUGGGCCUCCGAGGCGGCAGUGGGUGGUCCAGGGGCAUUGUGAAGCCGUCAGGCACUGUGGAUGGGGAAGUGCAGGGCCCGCCUGCAGCACUGAAGUUUGGAAAGGCCAAAUACUGCUCCUAACCCGUGCGGCAAGGACUGCCCCAUUCAGUAAGCGGGGCAAAGUCCCGCCUUGACAAGCCUCUCUGUAGUUUCCCUGUGUGCUACACCUGGGCUGCUUCUGCUCGCUUCUUUGAAAAUGGAGAGGGGAGCAGAGGGAAGAACCUUGCAGGUUAUUCACAGGGAACUGACCCUAGGCAGUCAUGUCAGAUUGUUUGCAUGUACUUGUGCACGCGUUUUCAAAUGCAUAAAACCCUGUGCAUGUUUCAAAUGUGUAAACACGUAAGCAUUUUUAUUUGUAUUUCUAUUUCUUUUAUUUAUUUAUUUAUUUAUUUAUUUAUUUAUUUUCUUUUGAGACGGAGUUUCCCUCUUGUUGCCC
rnacentral:lncRNA from 10 species